UGUUACUUUCGAUUUCUAAACUGGCAUUAGAAUAUCUGGACUGGGAGGGACUUAGGCAAGUGACUGUUCGAGAUUACUUGAAACAUUCGAUGAAGGAAAUCCGUGCAAGUAAUAUUUAAUUUUGGUACGAUAAUGCUUGGUGGCGAAACAUUACUAUGGCAACGAACUAUGCUGUGUCGAUGACCCCUUUGAGACAAACAUACGAUUUUGGUCUGUCGAAGAAAACGUCAAAAGGUGUUUUAAAUACGGGAUACUCAGAUGGAGAUACCAGAAUGUGGCGGGAAGCACAAAGCUUUGGUGAACUUGUUCCAGGAAUCGGUGACAACUCUAUUGCUACAUGUAUAACCAAUGUUAGCGUGUAUCUUGCACGGAAAUAUUAUGCGGAAAUAUUCAACGUGACCGAUGUUCCGGAACCAAAUUCUGCUGUUAGACUGUAUGUCUUGAAUAAAAUACACGUAUAAUUUGUUGCAUAUAUCAUGUCAUGAUAGUUUAUAAUAUUGUUAUAUUCAGUAUAAAGAAUUAACGAGUUGAUUAACAUUGCUGUUUAACAAUUUAUUUUUUUAAACUAACAAACUCCAUAAUGUUCAGAUUAACCUGUUGUACAUGAAAGUUUAAUCGAUUUUUGUACAUGACUAGUUUUAUCGAUUUUUGUACAUGACUAGUGUAAUCAAUUUUUGUACAUGACCAGUUAUUCGAUUUUUGUACAUGACCAGUUUUAUUGAUUUUUGUACAUGACAAGUUUAAUCGAUUUUUGUAAAUGACCAGUUUUAUCGGCUUUUGUACAUGACAAGUUCAAUCGGUUUUUGUACAUGACAAGUUCAAUCGACUUUUCUGCAUGGCCAGUUUAUUCGAGUUUGAUUUGUCCGAUUAACGCACCUCCAGUAUU